GCGGGUUGAUGGCCAGGAACUCCGACAAGAGGAGGAUGCUGAAACGGUCACUAUGAUGUUGGCUCGACUCACUCAGACCACGCCGGAGGGAGCCAUCUGCGGCGGCGGUUCUGAUUGAGCCGUGCCAAUAUCUUAGUGCUCUUUCAUGCUCGUCCCUUGUCGCCAUCACCCAC
rnacentral:pre_miRNA from 1 species